UAAUAGCUUAGUUAGUAGAGCAUGAGAUUUUUAAUCUCAGGGUCGUGGGUUUGAGCCCCACAUUGGGCAAAA